UACGUAGGGAGCUAGCGUUGUCCGGAAUCAUUGGGCGUAAAGCGCGUGUAGGCGGUUCGGUAAGUCCGCUGUGAAAGUCGGGGGCUCAACCCUCGGAUGCCGGUGGAUACCGUCGGACUAGAGUACGGAAGAGGCGAGUGGAAUUCCUGGUGUAGCGGUGAAAUGCGCAGAUAUCAGGAGGAACACCGAUUGCGAAGGCAGCUCGCUGGGACGUUACUGACGCUGAGACGCGAAAGCGUGGGGAGCAAACAGG
rnacentral:rRNA from 1 species